AUUGAACGCUGGCGGCAGGCCUAACACAUGCAAGUCGAGCGAGCGGCGGACGGGUGAGUAAUGUCUGGGAAACUGCCUGAUGGAGGGGGGUAACUACUGGAAAUGGUAGCUAAUACCGCAUACCAUCAGAUGUGCCCAGAUGGGAGUAGCUAGUAGGUGGGGUAACGGCGAACCUAGGCGACGAUCCUUAGCUGGUCUGAGAGGAUGACCAGCCACACUGGAACUGAGACACGGUCCCGCCCCCUACGGGAGGAAGAAGUGGGGAAUAUUGCACAAUGGGCGCAAUCCUGAUGCAGCCAGGCCGCGUGUGUGAAGAAGGCCUUCGGUUUGUAAGGCACUUUCAGCGGGGAGGCGUUACCCGCAGAAGAAGCACCGGCUAACUCCGUGCCAGCAGCCGCGGUAAUAC
rnacentral:rRNA from 1 species